rnacentral:ncRNA from 1 species
UGAUAGCAAUGAAGCGCGAGGUUGCUGCUUUGAUUAGCAGGUUUUCCGUGGAGCGAAUGUCAAGUUAGGAAACUGACGACAA